CCCGACACGCUGGCCGUCAUGCGGCGCAUCGACGAGGAACGCUUAAACUGGUAACACGUGCGAUAAGUUGGGGGAAAGGAAACGAUUCCGUUAGUGACCAGACGACUGUUUACGCUGCAAUUAUUACAAAACCAAGCUUCAAGUAAUGGCACUAAAUGGUGUGGUGUGUGUGUGGUGCGUGAUACGAAUGAACUACUUACGCAAUACGGCAAUACACUUACGGCGGGGAAGAUCGGCACAGGCUCUUGUCGCAAUACAGCACAUGCACAACAGACGGGAGCGCUCUACAUGGAAGCGCGCCGGAGGCUUGCAUCGACUGCUGCCCCCGACUGCCUUUACUGCGCGGUUCCACGAUUGCAGUGGAUUUGGAGUGAGGAGGGGUCGCAGGUGGGCGAGCGAGCAGUGUGCGAGCACGGUCAACUCGGAAUUAGUUAUCAGAUCAGAACUAGCAACUCACUACUACACGGCUACGGCUUACUGCUGUACUGCUGUUUUACUGCUAGUGGUGUGUGCACUUCAGGAUAGGGGGAAGGACGGCGCACAAACAGAAGGCGGGAGGGACGCUAAAUAUUUCGGUAAAUUUAGAACUUUUGAGGGGGGAAAAAACACGCGCCCCAAACCAAAACCAAGAGACCCCCGAAAGACGUUACAACGAGGCAUCAAAAAAGGAGUGUUUUGAUUAGUAAUUGUUUCCGAUCGUUACCGUUUAUUAUACCCAAUCGAUUUAGCCAUUUUGAUUCCAUUUCCUUUUCCUUUUUUGGAUUUGUUUUUUUUUUGUUUUCCUCUAUGUAUCGUGUUAUAGUAAUAUAUCGUUUUUUCUGUUGUAUCAUAUUCAUUCAGGUAAACUUUUAUAGAGUUUUAGGUUCGCUUUUAGUAAAACGGUAUUUCGUUCUGCUCACACAACGUCCACAACUUCCAUUCCGUAUUUUUUUUUUGCGUCAAUCAUCAAUCAAAGUUUUAGUAGUCAAGUUAAUGUAUCUUCUGUGUCUUUUCUUUCUUCUUGCAUGCACGUUAUUUGCCAUCAUUAUCAAACGCCUCCUAAAGGACACGGAACAUCUUCUUACACCUCACGGAUAGAUAGCGCAAGGACGACGCCAUAGUUGCACCGGAUAGUUUUGGCGUUUUUUGUUUUUUGGUCUCCGCACUUACGUAUGUUUGAACUGAAAUCAACAAUAAUGUUGCAAAUCGUUGCAGGGGAUUAUACCGCAGUU